rnacentral:tRNA from 1 species
GCCGACUUAGCUCAGCUGGUAGAGCAGCGGUAUCGUAAACCGCAGGUCAUCGGUUCAAACCCGAUAGUCGGCUCCA